GUUGAAUCACGGCUCAAACCUCUGAUUAACCACCUGAGGCAAGCGCUGAGUCAGCCACAGGGGCACAGGUGAACGCAAUUUCACCUGAGUGACUGGAAGGGGUGGAGCCAGGCUCCACUCCUCCUAGACCCCAUUUAAGGGCUGACUCCUAAGGAGGAAGGGCCUCUAUCUGGAGAUUGCUUCUUUGGGAGUUAUUCUGUGAGCCCAGGAAAUGGGAUUCAUCCACACUUCAACCAAUCUGUUCUGCCUUCUGCUGAUCCCUGCAUUUUGCUCCAAUGCUCUAAAUGAAAGCCUUUCCCACAGUGACCAAAAUGACCACUUUGUAUACCACAUGAGUGAUGCUUUUAAUUUCUCUCUCUGCUACUUCAGACACGUAUUAGAAAAUAAAUGGUUAUAACCGUACACUUCUGGAAACAUAAAUAAGUGUGCCACUUCCACUGAGCACAUUCACAUCAUGAUGAGCCCAGUCUGCAAAGAGAACCUUAUUUUAACAUAUUUGACCAAAUUCUACAUCAAAUCAUAUUCUCAGACAUUUACAUAUUGCUGCAUAGAUGAGGACAAAUUUUGUACCACAAUACUGAGAAUUACUCUGUUUGAUAUCACAGUUUCAGUCCUGAGGGGCUUGUACCAGAGAUGGAAAGACUCAUGUUGCCACAGUAGAAACAGAGGAAACUUAUGGAGUGUUUUUUUAUCACCAGAAGGCAGAAAACUGCAACUACAUAACAGCUCUGAUUUUAAAAUGCACAUCAUUUUAUGUGAGGAUAUUUUCUAUACCUAGACCAAAUAUCACCUUUAAAUGAAUGCUUUAAGCACAUGAAAUGUCACUGUAAUGUGUAAAUGUACAAUGAAAGAUCUUCAAAGAUUUUCACAGAUCCUAUUAGAAAAAAUGCUUACAUAUGAGUCAUUUCGCUUUUCUGUUUUAUACUCUGUAGUCUAUCCUUCUUUCUAAUUGCACAUUUUGUUGGUCUAACUUAUUUGUGCUAGAUGAAUCAGAUCAAACCACAUAACAGUCACAGUAUAAGAAUCCAUUUUCUUGGCACCUGUGUGAUCUUUUUUCUCUUCUUCUUUGUAAAUCCCUGAUAUGUCCUUGACAAGAAAUGUCUUAUUCAAUACACAUAUACUUAGUCUGAAAGAUUUCUGAGAAAGGUUUUUAUUUUAAACUGGUUGAAUGGACUAAUUUCUCUGUCACUAAAACAGUAGUAUAGUGUAACAGCAUUGUGUGUAGAUGGCUCCAAAAGUAAUGUCUCCUAAUUAUUUCUGUGGAAACUACAACAGAUAAAAAGAGCACAAUAACACCAUAUGAUAGAGCAAAUUCUCAGCUACAGAACAGUAUCUUUCAACAUAAUCACCACCAUUAGAUAUGCAUUUUCACCAGGAGUGAACAAGAGCCUGCAUACUGUACUCAUGAAAAUUUGCAAAGUUAUCUGUGACUUCUCUUGUCUUUCAUGUCGCUGUUGCAAAUAUUGAAAUGAAUCACCCAUUGCCUCACUGUGUUUACAUCCACAGUUUGGUCUCCAUAAACAUUCGCCAAGUGUUGAUGAAUGUCACUGGGUGAAAAUUAUUCUAGAGGGAGGAAUUGGAUCCCACACUUUGCUACAUAUGCACUUCCAUGUCAGAUACCAUUUUGUCAGCCUGUCCUUCUCUUCUCAUCUGUUACAUGGCAAGAAAAUGUAAUGGAAUAUUGGUGGGAAGGUUCAAAUCUACAGCUGUACCACCAGUAUCUGCCUCUGAAAUUAUGGGCCAUCACAAUAAAAUGAGAGGCAUUACUUUUGGAGCAGCCCUCAUAUUAAAAAUAAAUUAUUUUAUCUGGGACUGUACAACAUAUUCAAUAAUUUUCUUUGUUUUUUUUUUUUAACAUAUACCUAACCGUUAACUGGGAACUACAGUAUAGGAGGUUCACCAGUACCUUCCAGGAAAGUAAAUUGUUUCUUCAUCAGUGUAGUUUCAGCCAUGUUCCCUCACACAUCUGUUUAAAUAUCUUGUUACAAUUUCUAAUUAUGAUUGCAAACAGAAUAAAUAAGUUUUGCACACCUGAGGAUUUUUAAAAUGAAAUAUGUGGUUAUUCGACAGUUUCAAGAGUAAUACAGAAAAAAAUGUAGAAAUCCAAUUGCAAAUGUUACCUACUGAGCUGCAAAACCACAUAUUUGCCAUUUAAUUGAAGGCGUGUCUAGACAAAAUAAUUCAAUCUGUUUUAAUAACAUUAUUCAGUGUGAUUAAGGAAAAGUAGAUACUUAUAUUUUGAUUUCCGUGAGUAGUCUAACAUGACAUUCCAAUUUUAAUAUUUAUACUGCAGCAUAUCAUUAGCACAUGCCUUCAGUGCUUUAUGGAAACCUGAGUGACAGACCUCAAAAAGCUAAUGUGAAAUUAUCAAAUAAUAUGCUGUUAGGGGGAAAAAAAAUUGCAAUCCUCUAAAAGGAUGCUCUUAGCUCCUGCAUUGUUCAGCGUUUUACAUUUGAUAACCUAGACUCUCGUCCUCAAAAGGCUGACUGUCAUUCAGAUCUCAACUGAUUAACAUAGAGAAUGGUGAGGUGCUGGAACAGGCUGUUCAGAGAGGUUUUGGAUGAUCCCUUACAACCCAAGCCAUUCUGAUUCUAUAAUUCUAUGAACAUGAAAGAAACUGAAGAUAAAUGACUUUUUCUGUAAGCCCCAUGCAAAAGUACUAGUCCCCUUCUCCUUAUGCUACUAGCUGCACCCAUAUGAUAGCCUUAGGUAUGUAACUAAAUGAUUCUUUUUGUAGCUUUUUCCUCUUUUUCCUCCAUUAGUCUUCCCUUACUGGCCUAUGUUCUCUCUAUUCAUUCUUUGAAUCUCCAUGUUAGGAAGCAGUAUGUCCUAGAGAUGUAACACAGAACUUAUUCCAAAUGUUUGACCAAAUAAUGUUAGAAGCCUUCAGUCAUCAUGAUUUUGCAUCAUUAGAAAUAUUUCUGAGAGUUAUUUUUGAAGACUCUGUUCACAGAAAGAAAAAUAUCUCACCUGAAAAUAGAUUUUGUAGCUUGGUAGAUUGAAUUAUAUUGUCUGAGUUUCUCUCUCUCCAUCCAAUAAAUCUUUCCAGGGAUCCUUUUCCACUUAUUGGGCUUUUGAAAAUUAGGGUGACUCUCAUAAGAGAUUUAGUUCCUUACUGUCUUUUAAGGGUCUGGGACUUCAGGCUAGUAGUGCAGUGUUAACACUUUGGUAUGUUUUAAUGUGUUGUACAGUUACAAUCUUCUCUUCUCAGUACUGCUUGCUUACAAAGUACAUCUACCAGUUUCUAAAGCUGAAUGACAAAUGCAUGAAAUUGACUCCAGAAUUUUUCUUUAUGGCUGUAGUAGAAAUGCUAAGUCAUGGCCUGAAACAGUGAUUGAGCACCUGGUGGGAAGGCAGAGCCAACCCAGGGGAGCUCAGGUGCAUUGCAUGCACCUGAGUGACCAGAAGGGGUAGAGCAAGGAUCCACCUCUUCCCAGACCUCGUUUAAGAGUUGGCAGUGGAGGCAAAUGAAUGUUACUAGGGAUCCCUGCCUACCUGAGGUCUUCAAGGGGUAAGCAAAUUCUUUCAUUUGUUUCUGUGUCUAUGGGUGCUGCAUUUGAGCAUAUCCUUACCUCCUGCUAUCUAGGCCUUUGCUACUACACUGUCAUUGCUGCAUUUUCCAUCUUGUUACAGUGUUACACUGGCCCCCUAUGCAUUGCUGGUUUGUCUAUCAAGUAAGGAUUUUGUUGAGCAGACGCACAUAUAAAUUGUUAUGAGGUGCAGCUGUCCAUGUGCUGGUAGUGUAAACAGCUCUGCAGACAUCAAGGUCAAUGAAGAAGUAGGAAGAAUGGAGACGAUCCUGGCACUGGAGCAGUUUCUUCUGCAGCAGGUGGAUGACACAACAUGGCAGAGGACACAACAUGGAGGACUGCAGCUUGUGGAGAAUUACUUUGAAUCAAGGGAUGAAUGUUUUUCCAGGAUUUCACAUUGUCAUCUCCUGGAUCUCAAUUUGUGAGAAGUUACACAUCUCUGCCGUAAGAAAUGUCUUCACAUACAGGUACAACAGGAGAAAAACAGUAGACCCUAACCAGACAAACAUCACUUAUUAGACUUUUCCAUUUUUUGUCAAAUGAAUGGUUGAGAACUAUAAUUUUUCUUCCUCUGAUCUAAAUAACAUUAGUAUCUUGAAUAAUCUGUGGCACAUCCUAAAUGUGUGGAACAGUGCAGUAGAUUUGUGUGUGUGUGUGUGUAUUAGAGGAGAAAUAAGAACUAGCUACUAUAAUUGUGAAUUGAGAGGAAACAUGAAUUUGUGAUGCAGUUCAUGAACAAUAGCUUCUUCCAAGCUAUCAUUCGAUAUUUGUUGUAUAUGAUUCAUUCUUGUAAUAGAAAGCUUAAUUUUCCCAAUGAAACCUGACAGUUUUCUUGGACUAGAUUCAAAGGUGAUAUAUCUGCUGAGAAUAUAGAUUGAUGUUUCUCUGGCAGUGUUACAUAUGACAUUUUCUGUUGAUCUGAGAAGAGAAGAUAGAAACAAGACCACAACUUUAUGAAAAGCCCAUAGAUUUUUUUGUAGAAAAUGAAAGAAAUUUCAGCCUGACCUUUGGUGGGAAAAGAGACACCACUUCAGAGCAUCUAGCCAAGUAAACAACCUGACACUUCUGCAAUAAUGUAUACACUUUGCAGUUUGAACAGUUGCUUGAUGUUUAAAUUGAUCAUAUGACAACAAAAUGUCAGGAUACUGUUCAUAGGCAUACAGAUGAUUCUGUAC
ensembl:lncRNA